UGGGGAAUAUUGCACAAUGGGCGCAAGCCUGAUGCAGCCAUGCCGCGUGUGUGAAGAAGGCCUUCGGGUUGUAAAGCACUUUCAGCGGGGAGGAAGGCGUUAAGGUUAAUAACCUUGGCGAUUGACGUUACCCGCAGAAGAAGCACCGGCUAACUCCGUGCCAGCAGCCGCGGUAAUACGGAGGGUGCAAGCGUUAAUCGGAAUUACUGGGCGUAAAGCGCACGCAGGCGGUCUGUCAAGUCGGAUGUGAAAUCCCCGGGCUCAACCUGGGAACUGCAUUGGAAACUGGCAGGCUAGAGUCUUGUAGAGGGGGGUAGAAUUCCAGGUGUAGCGGUGAAAUGCGUAGAGAUCUGGAGGAAUACCGGUGGCGAAGGCGGCCCCCUGGACAAAGACUGACGCUCAGGUGCGAAAGCGUGGGGAGCAAACAGG
rnacentral:rRNA from 1 species